rnacentral:rRNA from 1 species
UACGGAGGACCCAAGCGUUAUCCGGAAUCAUUGGGUUUAAAGGGUCCGUAGGCGGUUUGGUAAGUCAGUGGUGAAAGCCCAUCGCUCAACGGUGGAACGGCCAUUGAUACUGCCAGACUUGAAUUAUUAGGAAGUAACUAGAAUAUGUAGUGUAGCGGUGAAAUGCUUAGAGAUUACAUGGAAUACCAAUUGCGAAGGCAGGUUACUACUAAUGGAUUGACGCUGAUGGACGAAAGCGUGGGUAGCGAACAGG